UUCAUGACAUCGUAGAGCUCAGCUGGACAGUUAUCCAUACGUGGCAUCCGGUACCCACGUUGAAGAGCCACCAUGACAUCAGAAUUACUCAUACCUAAAACAAGGAAGACAAUAUGUCUUCCUGGGAUGUCCAGUGUGUCAGAACAGACAGGGUGAAGCCAUGGCUCCAUAUGAAGCAAGCUGUAGUACCCUAAAAGAUGGUUUGGUUCUCCUGCAUACCAGUCCACUGGAGGAAGACCUGAUGAUUUCCUGAAUCACACGGCUCAGUAAGGAAGAUGUAGAAGAACUCCAGUUCACCAUGGGCUUGAUUUUGCAAAGUGAUCCAUCCCCUGGCCACAAUAAAAAAAACCCUUAAAUAUACACUUAUCUUUAAGCAGGUGAGUAGAGCUACUGUACUGAA